GAGCGUGUGUUAGUCUGCGGCCGGACUAGGGAUCGGGAUAUGCAUUCUACGAAACUAGUUUCAACGAUCCAACCGUCAAAUAUGUUUGUAUAUACUCCGAGAUCGCAUACCUAAAAAAUCACAAAAAACAAACAUUCAAAUAUUAGGUAACAGAACAAAAGUUUUCGACGAUUAUAAACGAAAAAUCAUAAUUUAACGGUUAUUUUUGCUCCAAUUUUGAUAAUUUUUUACAGCUACACUCCUCGACCCUAUAAGAAUGCAUUGAACAAAUUCGAUCUUUAAUUUAAAAUAUUUACACUAGUGGAUAAUUUUUUAUACUUAAUGGAAGUAUAACAUUAACUCUUAAGUGUUUGUUAAAUCUAUCAAUUUGAUAGGAUAUGCAUUAUACGAAACUAUUUUCAACGAUCCAACCGUCAAAUAUGUUUGUAUAUAGUCCGAGAUCGCAUACCUAAAAAUCACAAAAAACAAACAUUCAGAGAUUAGGUAACAGAACAAAAGUUUUCGACGGUUAUAAAUGAAAAGUCAUAAUUUAACGGUUAUUUUAGCUCCGAUUUUGAUUAUUUUUUACAGCUACACUCCUCGACCCUAUAAGAAUGCAUUGAAAAAAUUCGAUCUUCAAUUUAAAAUAUUUACAGUAUAACAUUAACUCUUAGUGUUUGUUAAAUCUAUCAAUUUGAUAGGGUAUGCAUUCUACGAAACUAGUUUCAACGAUCCAACCGUCAAAUAUGUUUGUAUAUACUCCAAGAUCGUAUACCUAAAAAAUCACAAAAAACAAACAUUCAGAGAUUAGGUAACAGAACAAAAGUUUUCGACGAUUAUAAACAAAAAGUCAUAAUUUAACGGUUAUUUUAGCUCCGAUUUUGAUUAUUUUUUACAGCUACACUCUUCGACCCUAUAAUAAUGUAUUGAAUAGAUUCGAUCUUCAAUUUAAAAUAUUUACACUAUUUAUACUUAAUGGAAGUAUAACAUUAACUCUUAAGUGUUUGUUAAAUCUAUCAAUUUGAUAGGACAUGCAUUCUACGAAACUAGUUUCAACGAUCCAACCGUCAAAUAUGUUUGUAUAUACUCCAAGAUCGCAUACCUAAAAAAUCACAAAAAAUAAACAUUCAGAUAUUAGGUAACAAAACAAAAGUUUUUAACGGUUAUAAACGAAAAGUCACAAUUUAAUGAUUAUUUUAGCUCCGAUUUUGAUGAUUUUUUAUAGCUACACUCCUUGACUCUAUAAGAAUGCAUUGAACAAAUUCGAUCUUCAAUUUAAAAUAUUUACACUAGUGGAUAAUUUUUUAUACUUAAUGGAAGUAUAACA
rnacentral:lncRNA from 1 species